rnacentral:rRNA from 1 species
GUUAAGUCAGGCACGAGCGAGACCCACGCCAACAGUUGCCAGCAUGUCCUCCGGGAUGAUGGGGACACUGUUGGGACCGCCUCUGCUAAAGAGGAGGAAGGAAUGGGCAACGGUAGGUCAGCAUGCCCCGAAUUAUCCGGGCUACACGCGGGCUACAAUGGUCAGGACAAUGGGUAUCGACACCGAGAGGUGGAGGCAAUCUCCUAAACCUGUCCUUAGUUCGGAUUGUGGGCUGCAACUCGCCCACAUGAAGCUGGAAUCCGUAGUAAUCGCGUUUCAAAAUAGCGCGGUGAAUAUGUCCCUGCUCCUU